UCAACCUCCAACAAUGAAGAGCUUAGUAAAAUGAAGCCGUCCAAUAUACAAUCUACGAAAGAUUGGAUGGACUUUGUGAAAGAAAAGAAGAGUGCACGGUUCAAGGCUGAAAGUGCAAAGUUCAAAUCAAUGAAGAAGAGGCAACUUCCACAUACAUGUAGCCAUAAAGGUUAUGCUCGACUGGCGGAAGAUAUG